UACAGAGGGGGCAAGCGUUGUUCGGAAUUACUGGGCGUAAAGGGCGCGUAGGCGGCCUGCUAAGUCGAACGUGAAAUCCCCGGGCUCAACCCGGGAACUGCGUCCGAUACUGGCAGGCUUGAAUCCGGGAGAGGGAUGUGGAAUUCCAGGUGUAGCGGUGAAAUGCGUAGAUAUCUGGAGGAACACCGGUGGCGAAGGCGGCAUCCUGGACCGGCAUUGACGCUGAGGCGCGAAAGCGUGGGGAGCGAACAGG
rnacentral:rRNA from 1 species